UCUCCCGAACCCGAAACAUACGGUUGUGACCAUUGAGUCCGGAUCAAGCCCGUAAUACCGCAAAACAUCUUCGAUUUGUUCAUUGAACUCUCCUAACCUAUUUUCCUGACCGUCCGAUUAAUAUCGGAGGGUCAUGAGAUAGUCCAUUUUCCUUUAUAUAGUUGAAUCCCUAGCCUAAACCUAAAUUCUAGGGAUCCUACCCUAGCGCCGCCAGCCACUCUCUCACGGGAUCCCCACCAAAUCCACCUGCAUCCUCCCUCGAAUUCCCCAACCUGCCAACCACCUCUCCAUCGAUCCCCGGAUCUGCAGCAUCCAGCCCGCUGCGCUCGUGCGUGAGCACCCGAGGGGCCUCGCCCGCGCGUCCUCUGCUGCACUGUCACCGAAGACCGCACCAGCAGGCCCCGUGUGCUCCGUCCCUCUGCUCACCCACGCCGAACGCCUCGACCUCCUCCUCAGCCGGCGAGCAGAUCCGUCGGACCGCAAGAAGCACCCCGUUGCGCUCCCUCUCCUCUCUUCCUAACCAGGAGACCGACGCCGUGAUGAGACUACAGUCGUGUCGCUGAUGUCCGCGUCCAGACCACGAGCCCCAGGUCACGACGGAGCCUUUGUCUCGUCAUUUCCCUCAACCGCGGUCUCUCUUUCUCCCCCCUCGCUAAUCUCAUCCCUCUCCCCUUCUUUUCUCUGCAGAGGAGAUCUGAGGGAUGCCCGAGCCAUGGAGAUGAGCCGCCAUGGAAGGGUUGCCCCGCCGUUGGUGCCUCCAGCCCUGUAGGAGUGUCACUUUUGGCUAGAUCUGUUGCCUCCCACCGUUCCUCUCGUCGACUCAGCCCCGCCUUGGCCUGUCGAAGCCGCCAACUCCUGCUGCUGUGGCAUCCUGUACCACGCGAAGCCGGCGCACAUGUGUCCCGCUCACUCGAACGCGUGAGCUCAAGGGAAACACAAACCUUCCAGCGGGCCGGCUUCCCAGCUCCCCCGCUGGCCUGAUCUGGCUCGAGGUGAGACUUCACCUCCGCGUCAUGCCUUGGGAGGUUGAAGCCCCACAUUGCCGGAAUCCAAUCCUAGCUCAGCUGAUUAGCCAUGCUCUGUCUCACCCAGUAGACCAGGGUUCAAAUCCCUAGUUACACAUAUUGUGUUUCCCACCAUAUUAGUAUGUUUUCUGCACUUUUGUUACAGCUAAUCUUGCAUAUUUGGAUUAUAUGCCACUCAUUUAAAAUGCAUGCAUCUUUUAAACAGUGCGUUAAAUCGAAAUGUGGAACGUGUAAAAUUUCGUGUAGAUUAAUAUUUUUCAACACUCAUGCAGAUUUAAAGCUAUUAACCUUGCCGUUUGCCUCGUUUUGCGUGAUGUUAUGCUAAAACGGUUUAAUUCGAAGCUUGUUAACCGUAGCUCAGUUGGAGAUGAGCUAUGUAUGUAAACCGACAAGAAUUAUGUGUAGUUUCACGUGAACCACUUUAUUUCGACGUUUAACAAAUAUAAAAUAUGUUAGUUCAGAUCUGGACCAAUUUUGAUUUAUCACAUGGGGUCAUUUCGGAAAUACUAUAUGUUGUUUCCGACCUCAUUUAAAAUUCCUCGCUAGUGUAGUUUAUUUCUGAUUCACCUCUUGCCAUGAUAAUAACAUUUUAAAAUUUUCGUGUACCUAAACGAUUGUGAACUAAAUAUUUGAAUGUGGAGUUUCGUCAAUAUGCAACUUGUUGCAUACUGAGCUUCACUUAAUGUGUAGUGUUUGAUUGUUGUGAAUUGUCAUGCCGUAGCUUGCAUAAUUAAACUGGGCAUACAUCAUAUGUGUUGUGCAUCAUAUCGUUCAUGUGUCGUGGUGAAUAUCAUGUGUUGAUUCUUGUUUUCAGUUUGCUUCUUCUCGAUAGAGUUCCGCAAGCGUGUUGAAAUGUGAGGAUCCGUUCAACUACUUCGGUUCGCCUGCUUCAUAGAUUCGUUCUUCUUCCAAGCGGGAUCUCAAGCAAGAUGACCAUUUCCCUAGAUAACAUUACUAUAAUUGUGAUGCUGGUUGUUUCCUUUCUAUCGCUAUGUUUUGCAGCCUACCACCUAUUAAAUGUCAGCCUCCCAACGUUGCCAUGAAAACCUCUUAUCUUUCCACAACCCAGCAAACCACUGGUUUAUAUCGUUGCUACUUAAUUUAAUGCACCUAUAUCCUAUACACGUGCAGUUGCUUCCAUGUGAAAACAUGGGUUCCUUGUUAUAUCACCAUAUACUUGCUACUUAAUUUAACACACCUAUAUAAUUGGUAAAGGGUGGAAGGCUUGGGUCUCUAGUCUGAUGUUUUGUUCCAUCUUUGUCGUCUUAGUUUUGUCUACCGGUGUUAUGUUCCAUAAUUGAGCAGUCCUAACACGCUCGGGGUUGUUUUGGGGACCCCUUUGAUAAUUCGUUUUAGUUUAAUCUGGUCUGGCAAGGCCCAACUUUGAUACUACAUUUGCCUAAUAACCUAAUAAAAUUGCAUAGGGACUUUCCGGACCCAUAGAUAAUUGAUAAACCCUCGAGCCAGUGCUCUGCAUGAGUGUUGGUCCAACCUAUCAACUGUCAGUGGCUACCAGGGGCAAUUCUGUGAUUGGCCUACCGGAAGUUUAGACAAUCCGUCAGGUCCUGAGAAUGAGAUACACGGCUCCUAUUGGGUUUGUCCACACGUCAGGCGGCUUUGCUGGACUUGUUUUAUCUUUGACGAAAUAUCUUGUGCAUCGGGAUUCCGGUAAUGCUUUGGGGUUUUCCACUAAGUAAUCCGAGGAGAUCAUGAGUUUCAUGAUCGAGGCUUUCUAUGUAGCUUGUGGCAAUUUGUGAUGGACUAGUUGGAGCACCCCAGCAGGGUUAAAUCUUUCGGAAAGCCAUGCCCGCAGUUAUGUGGCAAACUUGGAAACUUUGUUUAACAACCGAUUCUAGAUAACUUGAAGUAAACUUAAUUAAAAUAUGCCGACCGUGUGCGUAAUCUUGACUGUCUCUUUCGUGAGCUCGUUCUCCGACUGAGGACACGGUGGGGUUAUGUAUGACAUAAGUAGGUGUUCAGGAUCAUUCGUUUGAUCAUCAAUACUUCAUGUCCGAUUAUGCGUAGAUCAUCCCCCCUCUUAUUCUUGUACUCGUAAAUUAGCCACCUCAAAUAAAUGCGUAGUCGCUUGCUGUAGCCUCACCACUUAACCAUACCUCACCCAUUGAGCUUUGCUAGUCUUGAUACCUUUGGAAAUGAGAUUGUUGAGUCCCUGUGGCUCACAGAUUACUACAACACCACUUGUAGGUACAGCUAAAGUGAUACUCUGACGUGAGCGCGAUGAUUGUUCUAUUUAGAGUUUCUUCUUCUUCUUCUUCGAUCUAGGAUGGGUUCGAGGCGACAGCCUGGGAUAGCAAGGAUGGACAUCGUUCUUUUAUUGUUUCUUUUCGUCCGUAGUCGGACCCUGCUCUUCUUCAUGAUGAUUGAUUAUGUUGUUGUAAUGAUGUGAAGUUGAUGUAGCUUGUGGCGAGUGUAAGCCAAUUUCAUAUACUCACCUCUUCAGUACAUGUACUUGUAACAAUAUCCAUUCUUGCAAAAUGACGAGAUCUGCUUCUAUCCCUGUCGAGCCCCUCGCGCCAAAAUAAGGAUAGGAUCGCAUCUUGGGUAUUACAAGUUGGUAUCAAAGUGGUACCGAGUUAGGAGCCCCCUUAAUUGAUCGAACUUGGCCGAAUCGAGUCUAGUUAAAAUCUACUUUGAGUCUAGUUAUAUAUAAGAGAGUAGGGUUCUUUUUACUCCUCUUCUAUGCUCUCGUGAGGUUUACGAUGUAAGAUUUGAAUUCUACUCCACUGCUCACUCAAAUAUAUUUUUGGGAUCACGCGG
rnacentral:lncRNA from 1 species